AGAGUUUGAUUCUGGCUCAGGAUGAACGCUGGCGGCGUGCCUAACACAUGCAAGUCGAGCGGACCAAUGCUCAUUUCAGCUUUGCUGAUUUGAGCAACGGUUAGCGGCGGACGGGUGAGUAAUGCGUGGGCAACCUGCCCUGUGCAGGGGGAUAACACAGCGAAAGCUGUGCUAAUACCCCAUAAGACUACGCUAUCGCAUGAUAGAGUAGUCAAAGCUUUAGCGGCACAGGAUGGGCCCGCGUCUGAUUAGCUAGUUGGUGGGGUAACGGCCUACCAAGGCGACGAUCAGUAGCCGACCUGAGAGGGGGAUCGGCCACACUGGAACUGAGACACGGUCCAGACUCCUACGGGAGGCAGCAGUGGGGAAUAUUGCACAAUGGGGGAAACCCUGAUGCAGCAACGCCGCGUGAGCGAAGAAGGCCUUCGGGUCGUAAAGCUCUGUCCUAAGGGAAGAAGUAUGACGGUACCUUAGGAGGAAGCCCCGGCUAACUACGUGCCAGCAGCCGCGGUAAUACGUAGGGGGCGAGCGUUAUCCGGAAUCACUGGGCGUAAAGGGUGCGUAGGCGGCCGAGUAAGCCAGAGGUGAAAGGCUACGGCUUAACCGUAGUAAGCCUUUGGAACUACUUGGCUUGAGUGCAGGAGAGGAGAGUGGAAUUCCUAGUGUAGCGGUGAAAUGCGUAGAUAUUAGGAGGAACACCAGUGGCGAAGGCGACUCUCUGGACUGUAACUGACGCUGAGGCACGAAAGCGUGGG
rnacentral:rRNA from 1 species